rnacentral:rRNA from 1 species
GGAAUCUGCCUAGUAGUGGGGGAUAGCUCGGGGAAACUCGAAUUAAUACCGCAUACGACCUACGGGUGAAAGGGGGCGCAAGCUCUUGCUAUUAGAUGAGCCUAAAUCAGAUUAGCUAGUUGGUGGGGUAAAGGCCCACCAAGGCGACGAUCUGUAACUGGUCUGAGAGGAUGAUCAGUCACACCGGAACUGAGACACGGUCCGGACUCCUACGGGAGGCAGCAGUGGGGAAUAUUGGACAAUGGGGGCAACCCUGAUCCAGCCAUGCCGCGUGUGUGAAGAAGGCCUUUUGGUUGUAAAGCACUUUAAGCAGGGAGGAGAGGCUAAUGGUUAAUACCCAUUAGAUUAGACGUUACCUGCAGAAUAAGCACCGGCUAACUCUGUGCCAGCAGCCGCGGUAAUACAGAGGGUGCGAGCGUUAAUCGGAAUUACUGGGCGUAAAGCGAGUGUAGGUGGCUCAUUAAGUCACAUGUGAAAUCCCCGGGCUUAACCUGGGAACUGCAUGUGAUACUGGUGGUGCUAGAAUAUGUGAGAGGGAAGUAGAAUUCCAGGUGUAGCGGUGAAAUGCGUAGAGAUCUGGAGGAAUACCGAUGGCGAAGGCAGCUUCCUGGCAUAAUAUUGACACUGAGAUUCGAAAGCGUGGGUAGCAAACAGGAUUAGAUACCCUGGUAGUCCACGCCGUAAACGAUGUCUACUAGCCGUUGGGGUCCUUGAGACUUUAGUGGCGCAGUUAACGCGAUAAGUAGACCGCCUGGGGAGUACGGCCGCAAGGUUAAAACUCAAAUGAAUUGACGGGGGCCCGCACAAGCGGUGGAGCAUGUGGUUUAAUUCGAUGCAACGCGAAGAACCUUACCUGGUCUUGACAUAGUGAGAAUCCUGCAGAGAUGCGGGAGUGCCUUCGGGAAUUCACAUACAGGUGCUGCAUGGCUGUCGUCAGCUCGUGUCGUGAGAUGUUGGGUUAAGUCCCGCAACGAGCGCAACCCUUUUCCUUAUUUGCCAGCGGGUUAAGCCGGGAACUUUAAGGAUACUGCCAGUGACAAACUGGAGGAAGGCGGGGACGACGUCAAGUCAUCAUGGCCCUUACGACCAGGGCUACACACGUGCUACAAUGGUAGGUACAGAGGGUUGCUACACAGCGAUGUGAUGCUAAUCUCAAAAAGCCUAUCGUAGUCCGGAUUGGAGUCUGCAACUCGACUCCAUGAAGUCGGAAUCGSUAGUAAUCGCAGAUCAGAAUGCUGCGGWGAAUACG